rnacentral:rRNA from 1 species
GCUAAAAAUCUAGCCCCUCCUAACCUUAUGAUCACAAUAAAUCUACUUCAUUAAACUAAAACAUUUUAACAUCUUAGUAAAAGGCGAUUAAAAAAUUUUCAAGAGCUAUAAAUACAGUACCGCAAGGGAAAGAUGAAAUAAAAAUGAAAUAAAUUUUAAGCACUAAAAAGUAGAGAUUAACACUCGUACCUUUUGCAUCAUGAUUUAACUAGUCAAAUCAAGCAAAAUGACUUAUAGUUUAACUUCCCGAAACUAGGUGAGCUACUUCAGGGCAGCUUAAAGAGCAAACCCGUCUCUGUUGCAAAAGAGUGGGGAGACCCUAAAAUAGAGGUGAUAAACCUAACGAGCCUAGUGAUAGCUGGUUACUCAAGAAAAAGAUUUAGUCCAACCUAAAGUUUUUUAAAUACACUUAAAUAUCAAUAUUACUUUAGAGUAAUUCAAAUAAGGUACAGCCUAUUUGAAAAAGGAUACAACCUAUACUAAAGGGUAAUUAAUUUUUAAAAUAACUAAGUAGGCCUAAAAGCAGCCACCUUCUAAAUAGCGUCAAAGCUUCGUUAUUUAACUUCUCUAUACCAAAAAUAGUUCAGAACCCUUAAUCAUUAUUGAGUACUUCUAUACUACUAUAGAAUAUUUUAUGUUAAAACUAGUAACAAGAACAAAAACUUCUCUCAAAUGCAAGUGUAAAUCAGAAAGGAAUGACCACUGAUUCUUAACAUAUAUGUAUUUAAAUUAAAAACUUCACAAGAAAAAUCUAAUUUUUUUUAUGUUAACCUAACACAAGAGCAUUACAAGAAAGAUUAAAAGAAAAAGAAGGAAUUCGGCAAACAUUAACCUCGCCUGUUUACCAAAAACAUCGCCUCUUGACUAACUAUAAGAGGUCCAGCCUGCCCAGUGACUUUGUUCAACGGCCGCGGUAUCCUAACCGUGCGAAGGUAGCGUAAUCACUUGUUCUUUAAUUGAGGACUAGUAUGAAUGGCAUCACGAGGGUUAUACUGUCUCCUUUUUCUAAUCAGUGAAACUAAUCUUCCCGUGAAGAAGCGGGAAUAAAAAUAUAAGACGAGAAGACCCUAUGGAGCUUUAAACUAAAUAACAAUUUGCUUUUAAUCAUUAUAUCUAAUAAUGAACACCUAUUCCAGCUCCUUGAUUAUUAGUUUUAGGUUGGGGUGACCGCGGAGCAAAAAACAACCUCCACGCUGAAUUGGAUUUAUUAUCCUUGAGUUAUGAGCCACAACUCUAUACACCAAUAAAUUGACAUCAAUUGACCCAAUAUUUUGACCAACGAACCAAGUUACCCUAGGGAUAACAGCGCAAUCCACUUCAAGAGCUCCUAUCGACAAGUGGGUUUACGACCUCGAUGUUGGAUCAGGGUGUCCCAGUGGUGCAGCCGCUACUAAAGGUUCGUUUGUUCAACGAUUGAAACCCU